AAUAGAUACCCAGGUAGUCCACGCCGUAAACGAUGAGUGCUAAGUGUUGGAGGGUUUCCGCCCUUCAGUGCUGCAGCUAACGCAUUAAGCACUCCGCCUGGGGAGUACGGUCGCAAGACUGAAACUCAAAGGAAUUGACGGGGGCCCGCACAAGCGGUGGAGCAUGUGGUUUAAUUCGAAGCAACGCGAAGAACCUUACCAGGUCUUGACAUCUCCUGACCGCCCUGGAGACAGGGGUCUUCCCUUCGGGGACAGGAUGACAGGUGGUGCAUGGUUGUCGUCAGCUCGUGUCGUGAGAUGUUGGGUUAAGUCCCGCAACGAGCGCAACCCUUGGUUCUAGUUGCCAGCAUUGAGUUGGGCACUCUAGAGCGACUGCCGGCGACAAGUCGGAGGAAGUGGGGAUGACGUCAAAUCAUCAUGCCCCUUAUGACCUGGGCUACACACGUGCUACAAUGGAUGGUCAAAGGGCAGCAAAGCGGCGACGCAUGAGCGAAUCCCAGAAAACCAUUCUCAGUUCGG
rnacentral:rRNA from 1 species